CUUCCACCUUUCGCCGUGGGACGGCACCGCUCGAAGGCCUUCCCUUGAUGUGAGACCCUCGGUCUUGGACUUCCCAACCUCCAGAACUGUGUUGAGCUAAGAGAAACCAGUAACAACAGACAAUCAGAAACUACCCGCAAAUGGAUGGAUCUAUCAGGAAACCCUUCAUCAGGCUACAGCCCUGACAGCAACUCAGAUGGCAUCACUCACAACCCAGCAAGGAAAUGGACGGAGAGGAAACCUCUGCAGAGAAGGGUUUUUGGGUCGAUCUUGGCUUCCACCUUCUCCAGGCCAGUGGGCCUGGUGCUCUGGCACUAGGAUCCCACUAAGGAAGACCUUCUCCCCAAUCUGUGAAUUGAAACACUUCUCCCAAGUGGAAAAUAAGGAGGCUUCAGAGACUCUUGGCAUAAAAAGGAAGGAGCCUAUCCACCAGGCCUGCUGGUGUCACUGACUUGGGAGGAUGAACAGCCCUUAAUCAAAACCUUGCUCCAGGGAGAAAAGCAGGUGGGCCGGGGUUGUUACGGGAAAUGUGAUUGACUGACAUCUCCUGGGAGAAACUUAAAGAUCAAGGUGGGAGAAAGGCCCUUCCUUUCAGAGCCUACUCCAGCCACUCAUGGGCUGCUGGGGAGGUUUUUGUUUUGUUUUUCUUUUUACGUUUUUAACUAUACUAAGUUCUGGGGUACAUGUGCAGAAUGCGCAGG